rnacentral:rRNA from 1 species
AGCAAUUGCUUGGCACAUAAAAGAUAUAUUGAUAUGGACUUAGUUAAUGCUUAUCUUGCACGCCGUUCCCUUGAUUAUUUGAUUGGGUUCGCCAUAUCACCACUUUUAUGGAGGAAGUUGCCUGGUUGUCAGUCUGCUGGACGAGUCCAGUCUGCAGCUUUGGCGCUUGUUUGUGAUCGGGAGACUGAAAUAGAAAAGUUUAGCCCACAGGAAUAUUGGACUGUUGAUACUGAAUUUGAAACCCAGUAUUCAGAUUCUUCAAAAGGCAUAUGUCUUACAUCCUGGAUAAAGCAUCUCAAUUCAAAAAAGUUGGAUCAGCUUUCUAUAAGCUCUCAAGAAGAAGCACGAGCUCUAGAAAAGAGGAUUUAUUCUUGCCAAUUUGAAGUAAGAGGUGUUCAGAGAACCAAAAUUCACAAGAAUCCUCCGAUGCCAUAUAUAACAUCCAGCCUUCAGCAAGAUGCAGCAAACAAACUACAUUUUGGUGCAGGGCACACCAUGAAGGUAGCCCAGAAGCUUUAUGAAGGGAUCAAUCUUUCGUCAGAACAAGCAACAGGAUUAAUAACUUACCUCAGAACAGAUGGGUUUCAUAUUUCUCAUGGAGCUGCAGAAGAUAUUCGUUCGUUAGUGAAACAAAGGUAUGGUGAGCAAUAUGCAUCAGAGGAUAUUAGGAAGUACUUGAAGAAGGUGAAAAAUGCUCAAGAGGCCCAUGAAGCCAUAAGGCCCACCAGCAUAAGGAGGUUGCCAUCAUCUUUGAUUGGAAUACUUGAUGAGGAUUCUUUGAAACUGUACACUCUAAUAUGGAGAAGAACAAUGGCUUGCCAAAUGGAAGCUUCAAGGACUGAGCUGAUACAAGUUGGUAUUGGUAAUCCUGAAGGAGACAUGAUUUUUCAUUCAUCUGCGUCAAGGCUUGACUUCAAGGGGUACCAAGCUGUCUAUGAGGACACUGAAGCAACUGGGUCCAGUGAAAACCCCGAAGGAGAAACUGCACAUCAGGAUAAUUUCGAGGCCUUGUCCAAAUUAGAGAUGAAGGAUUUGGUGUCUCCCAUUAACGUGAAUCUUGAACAGCACUUUACCAAACCUCUGUCCCGUUAUUCUGAGGGUGCAUUGAUUAAAAAGAUGGAGGAACUUGGAAUCGGAAGGCCAUCUACGUACGCCUCUAUAAUGAGGGUGUUGCAGGACCGGAAAUACGUGACAGUAAAAAGUCGUGUUCUGCACCCUGAAUUCCGCGGUCGAAUGGUCUCAGCAUUUCUUUCACAUCUUUUCUCUGAGAUUGCCGAUUACAGCUUUACUGCUAACAUGGAGACGGAGCUAGACAAUGUCUCUGCUGGGUCAACUGAAUGGAAGGGUCUCCUGAAAGAUUACUGGGAACGAUUCAGCAAAUAUUGCGGAGAUGCUAGGCAGUGGGAUGUCAGAAAGGUAGAGAGAAUGCUUGAAGAGAAAUUCUGUCCUAUCCUCUUUCCUGACCUUGACACCGACAGUAGGAUUUGCCCUAGUUGUUCUGAAGGAACCCUCAGAUUUAAAGUUAGUAGGUAUGGAGAAGGCUAUUUUAUAGGCUGUGAUCGACAUCCGAAGUGCAAGUACAUCGCUCGCACAUUAUCAGAUGAAGAUGAUGAAAAUGAAACCUCCGAGCAAAUUCCAAGGUCUUUUGAACCUAGGUUACUUGGUGUCAUGCCUGAUACAAGUGAAAAGGUCUUCUUGAAACAAGGUCCUUAUGGUUACUACAUCCAGGUUGGAGAGGAUCGGAAAGGGGCAUCUCAGAAAAGAGCUCCUCUUUCUGAGGUCAAAGAUGUUGACUCUAUCACUAUCAAAGAUGCAAUUGAGCUAUUGCAGUAUCCAAAAAUUCUGGGAAAACAUCCUGAUGACGAGCAUCGAGUACUUAUGACACAUUCUAAAGCUGGAUUUAGUAUCCGGCACAGGGGAACCCUUGCUCCAGUGCCAAAGACUCAAGACCCAAAGAAGAUUACGCUCGAGCAUGCACUGAAGUUUCUGACGGGUAAAAAUGCACUGAAGAUUACGCUCGAGCAUGUCUUCAUCUAA